CAAGUCUUCCGGUUCGUUUAAAGGUGGCCAUGGAAUGGUGUAGCAGAUUGCUGCAGAUGGUUUCAAUAGUUCUGCUGAAUGCUCCUUGUUUGUGCCUGCAAGAGGAACUCAAGGCUUUAUGUAUGGCCAUUGCUGUGACCUAGUGUGAUGCUCUACUUUUCCACUGAACUCUGCUUGCUCUAACUGAGGACCUUAGCUAUAAUUUAGCCUUUUCUUUUUGUAAGUAACUACACAUAGUUGAGACAAAAUUAUUUUGAUGUUUAAAAAACAAUUUUAUUAACCAGGCGGUGGUGGCACACACCUUUAAUCCCAGCACUUGGGAGGCA
rnacentral:lncRNA from 1 species